AUUGAACGCUGGCGGCAGGCCUAACACAUGCAAGUCGAGCGGAGCGGCGGACGGGUGAGUAAUGCCUAGGAAUCUGCCUGGUAGUGGGGGAUAACGUCCGGAAUCGGGCGCUAAUACCGCAUAAUAUCAGAUGAGCCUAGGGCGGCUUAGCCAGUUGGUGGGGUAAAGGCUUACCAAGGCGACGAUCCGUAACUGGGCUGAGAGGCUGAUCUGUCACACUGGAACUUAGCCACGUUCCAGACUCCUACGGGAGGCAGCAGUGGGGAAUAUUGGACAAUGGGCGAAAGCCUGAUCCAGCCAUGCCGCGUGUGUGAAGAAGGUCUUCGGAUUGUAAAGCACUUUAAGUUGGGAGGCGUUACCAACAGAAUAAGCACCGGCUAACUUCGUGCCAGCAGCCGCGGUAAUUC
rnacentral:rRNA from 1 species